rnacentral:lncRNA from 1 species
GCUCCCCGCUGCUGCCCCAGGCCCUGGCUGUGCAGGGAGCCCUCGCGGUGGGACAGGUUCUGCAUCAACCAUUGACCAACGCGUUGGUAACAGCACGUAUACGACCACCACCGUGAGCACAACAACAUCAGCGUCACUCCCGUAACGCUGUACAUUUUGUUAUCCAUUUGCACAAUGUAUUAUGCCUGACUGAUCCAUUUCCCCUGCUAUUGAGUGGUAGAUUGUGGAUUAGUACCUCGAGCCAACACCAGUCUGCAUGGGAACGUAAUAGGAUCUUGCAUCAUUUUUAAUGACUCUGAUUAAGCAGCUGGCUUCAGAAGAGCGUGCGCUGCGUGGCCCUUCUGGGGGGAGAAGUCGCGGGGGUGCUGGUGGCAGCGCAAAGCAGCUCUCGUCCGUCUGUCCUCCUGUGCCGGCACGCCGGGUGCUCUCCCCUGCGCCUCAGGGAAAACGCAGGGCUUUCCAAAGUGCACAGCCAUCAUCUGCCUUAAGUGGAAGCCGUCCUCGCAGGCCGCCUGCUGCGAGCCAGCCGCCGACCGCCUCUGCUCCUGGCGACCCGAAGAGACCCGUGGCAGCUGCCGCUGUCACACCAGCCACGUACCGAUGGUGCACAUACCCGACGCAGCCGAAAUGCUGA